rnacentral:rRNA from 1 species
CACGUAGUUAGCCGGGGCUUUCUGGUCAGGUACCGUCAAGGUACAAGCAGUUACUCUUGUACUUGUUCUUCCCUGACAACAGAGCUUUACGACCCGAAGGCCUUCAUCGCUCACGCGGCGUUGCUCCGUCAGACUUUCGUCCAUUUGCGGAAGAUUCCCUACUGCUGCCUCCCGUAGGAGUCUGGGCCGUGUCUCAGUCCCAGUGUGGCCGAUCACCCUCUCAGGUCGGCUAUGCAUCGUCGCCUGGGUGGGCCGUUACCCCGCCAACUAGCUAAUGCACCGCGGGCCCAUCUGUAAGUGACAGCCGAAACCGUCUUUCCAUUUCCGAUCAGGAGAAAGGAAUACUAUCCGGUAUACGCCCCGGUUUCCCGGAGUUAUCCCAUCUUACAGGCAGGUUGCCCACGUGUUACUCACCCGUCCGCCGCUCAUUCCGCAGAAUCACCCCGGAGGGUCAUCUGGUUCCUGCGCUCGACUUGCAUGUAGUUAGCACGCCGCCAGCGCUCCGUCGUCGUACGCUAC